GUUUUCUAUAAAGUAAAAAAAAUUAAUGUACACGAAGUCUGUUGAGCUAAAAAAAAAUUAAUGUUAGUAUAUAAUUGUAAUUGUAGCAAUAAUUACCCAAUAUAUUUUUUUAGGGGUGAUAGGCCUAACAAAUCUGAUGAUAUCUUGAUAUCUAGAAAAAAUAUUUAGUAUAUUCCCAAACUAAAAGUGUUUAGGCUUUUAGUAUGCAAAUUUUUUAUUUACAUUACAAGUUAAUUAUAUAAUAGUUUUAAAUUUAAUGUAAUAUAACAUAGUUUAUAUAUAGAAAUUGUUUCGUACUAGCUUUUUUUAAUUAAUUUAUUAAAAAAUGUAUAAUGAGAAUAUUAGUAUUCAUAUAGUAUUAUAUAAGGAACUCGGCAAAAAUUUUACUCGACUGUUUACCAAAAACAUUGCCUUAGGUAAUUAAUCUAAGGUUUUCCCUGCUCAAUGAUACAUUAAAUAGCCGCAGUACUUUGACUGUGCAAAGGUAGCAUAAUCAGUUGGCUUAUAAUUGAAGUCUAGUAUGAAAGGGUAACCGGGUAAUUUCUGUCUAAUCUAAAUAAAAAUAAAUUACUUAGUAAGUGAAAAUUCUUACAUAAAGAUGAUAGACGAGAAGACCCUAGAAAUUUUUUAUAUAUUUUUUAAUAACCUAUUUUGUUGGGGCGACAUAGUAACAAGUUAAACUUACAUAAUAAAACUAGAUAUUAAUUAGUCGGAUGAAUAAAUUACUCUAGGGAUAACAGCAUUAUUUAUAAUUAAGUUUGUGACCUCGAUGUUGGACUAGGGAAAAAUUUACUUAGAAGGUAAAUUAGUAGGCUCUGUUCGAGCUAUUUCUCCUACAUGAUCUGAGUUCAGACCGG
rnacentral:rRNA from 1 species